rnacentral:rRNA from 1 species
UCGGGGAACGAUAACGGCGUCGAGCGGCGGACGGGUGAGUAAUGCCUGGGAAAUUGCCCUGAUGUGGGGGAUAACCAUUGGAAACGAUGGCUAAUACCGCAUAAUAGCUUCGGCUCAAAGAGGGGGACCUUCGGGCCUCUCGCGUCAGGAUAUGCCCAGGUGGGAUUAGCUAGUUGGUGAGGUAAGGGCUCACCAAGGCGACGAUCCCUAGCUGGUCUGAGAGGAUGAUCAGCCACACUGGAACUGAGACACGGUCCAGACUCCUACGGGAGGCAGCAGUGGGGAAUAUUGCACAAUGGGCGCAAGCCUGAUGCAGCCAUGCCGCGUGUAUGAAGAAGGCCUUCGGGUUGUAAAGUACUUUCAGCAGUGAGGAAGGUGGUGUGCUUAAUACGCACAUCAUUUGACGUUAGCUGCAGAAGAAGCACCGGCUAACUCCGUGCCAGCAGCCGCGGUAAUACGGAGGGUGCGAGCGUUAAUCGGAAUUACUGGGCGUAAAGCGCAUGCAGGUGGUUUGUUAAGUCAGAUGUGAAAGCCCGGGGCUCAACCUCGGAAUUGCAUUUGAAACUGACAGACUAGAGUACUGUAGAGGGGGGUAGAAUUU